UCCUAGUUAAAGAGUAGGCCUGGGAAUUA
rnacentral:piRNA from 1 species